rnacentral:miRNA from 1 species
UGGCCACCCACCGUUGGAUAU